AAGAGGAGCUUGCUCCUCUGAUUUAGCGGCGGACGGGUGAGUAACACGUGGGUAAUCUGCCUGUAAGACGGGGAUAACUCCGGGAAACCGGGGCUAAUACCGGAUAAUAAGAGAAGAAGCAUUUCUUCUUUUUGAAAGUCGGUUUCGGCUGACACUUACAGAUGAGCCCGCGGCGCAUUAGCUAGUUGGUGAGGUAACGGCUCACCAAGGCGACGAUGCGUAGCCGACCUGAGAGGGUGAUCGGCCACACUGGGACUGAGACACGGCCCAGACUCCUACGGGAGGCAGCAGUAGGGAAUCUUCGGCAAUGGGCGAAAGCCUGACCGAGCAACGCCGCGUGAGCGAUGAAGGCCUUCGGGUCGUAAAGCUCUGUUGUUAGAGAAGAACAAGUACGAGAGUAACUGCUCGUACCUUGACGGUACCUAACCAGAAAGCCACGGCUAACUACGUGCCAGCAGCCGCGGUAAUACGUAGGUGGCAAGCGUUAUCCGGAAUUAUUGGGCGUAAAGCGCGCGCAGGCGGUCUCUUAAGUCUGAUGUGAAAGCCCACGGCUCAACCGUGGAGGGUCAUUGGAAACUGGGAGACUUGAGUGCAGGAGAGAAAAGUGGAAUUCCACGUGUAGCGGUGAAAUGCGUAGAGA
rnacentral:rRNA from 1 species